rnacentral:rRNA from 1 species
GAUGAACGCUAGCGGGGGGCCUAACACAUGCAAGCCGAGCGGACUUUGAUCUUCCGUACAGCUAGGGCGGCGCACGGGUGCGGAACACUUAUGCAACCUUCCUUUAUCUAGGGGAUAGCCUUUCGAACGGAAAAUUAAUACCCCAUCAUAUAUUGAUUUGCAUCCCUUGAUAUUUAAAGCUCCGGUGGGUAGUGCUGGGACCGCGCGAGAUUAGCUAGUUGGUGAGGUAACGUCGCACCAAAACAAUGUACUAUAGGGGGCCGGAGUGGGUGAUCCCCCACACUUGUACUGCGACACGGACCAGAAUCCUACGGGAGGCAGCAGAGAGGAAUACUGGACAAUGGGUUAGCGCCUGAUCCAGCCAUCCCGCGUGAAGGACGUCGGCCCUAUGGGUUGUAAACUUCUUUGGUAGAGGGAUAAUCCUACUAUCGUGAGAGUAGCUGAAGGUACUAUACGAAUAAGCACCGGCUAACUCCGUG